GACGAACGCUGGCGGCGUGCUUAACACAUGCAAGUCGAACGAUGAAGCUAGAGCUUGCUCUGGUGAAUUAGUGGCGAACGGGUGAGUAACACGUGAGUAACCUGCCCCGAACUCUGGGAUAACUGCUGGAAACGGUAGCUAAUACUGGAUACGACCUACGAAGGCAUCUUCUGUAGGUGGAAAGAAUUUCGGUUCGGGAUGGACUCGCGGCCUAUCAGCUUGUUGGUGAGGUAAUGGCUCACCAAGGCGACGACGGGUAGCCGGCCUGAGAGGGUGACCGGCCACACUGGGACUGAGACACGGCGCAGACUCCUACGGGAGGCAGCAGUGGGGAAUAUUGCACAAUGGGCGCAAGCCUGAUGCAGCAACGCCGCGUGAGGGAUGACGGCCUUCGGGUUGUAAACCUCUUUUAGUAGGGAAGAAGCGAAAGUGACGGUACCUGCAGAAAAAGCACCGGCUAACUACGUGCCAGCAGCCGCCGCAG
rnacentral:rRNA from 1 species